UGAUGCGAUCAUAUCGGUACUAACGCAUCGGAUCUCAUCAGAACUCCGAAGUUAAGCAUGCUUGGGCGAGAGUAGUAGCUGCAUCGCUCCUUUUAAAACGAGUCGUGUAGC
rnacentral:rRNA from 1 species